rnacentral:rRNA from 1 species
UGGGGAAUUUUGGACAAUGGGGGCAACCCUGAUCCAGCCAUCCCGCGUGUGCGAUGAAGGCCUUCGGGUUGUAAAGCACUUUUGGCAGGGAAGAAACAGCCUGGGCUAAUAUCCCGGGCGACUGACGGUACCUACAGAAUAAGCACCGGCUAACUACGUGCCAGCAGCCGCGGUAAUACCUAGGGUGCAAGCGUUAAUCGGAAUUACUGGGCGUAAAGCGUGCGCAAGCGGUUCGGAAAGAAAGGUGUGAAAUCCCAGGGCUUAACCUUGGAACUGCACUUUUAACUUCCGGGCUAGAGUACGUCAGAGGGGGGUAGAAUUCCACGUGUCGCAGUGAAAUGCGUAGAGAUCGGGAGGAAAACCAGUGGCGAAGGCGGCCAGCUGGGCCUUUACUGACGCUGAGGCACGAAAGCAUGGGUAGCAAACA